UGAAGUGUGUUGUGUGUAAGUGAAGUGGAUUGUUGUUUUAUUGCUAGGCCCUGACUCUACUCGACUACCUGAUCAAAACGGGCUCGGAACGUGUGGCGCAGCAGUGCAGAGAGAACGUCUACACCAUACAGACCCUACGGGACUUCCAGUUCACAGACAGGGAUGGCAGGGACCAGGGGGUGAAUGUUAGGGAGAAGGCCAAGCAGCUGGUGGCCCUGAUGAGGGAUGAGGAGAGGCUGAAACAGGAGAGGACCCUGGCCCUGAAGACCAAGGAGAGGAUGGCUGGAGCAGCUGCAGGGUCAGGGAUGGGCUCUAGUUCUCUACCUCCACCCUACCCAGGCCGCCGUACCAGCCAGCCCAGCAUGACUGCUCUCUACGGGGAUGACUUCAGCCGGUCCAGGGAGUCCCAUUCCUCUUU